rnacentral:rRNA from 1 species
UACGUAGGUGGCAAGCGUUGUCCGGAUUUACUGGGCGUAAAGAGCGCGCAGGCGGUCAGAUAAGUCGAAUGUGAAAGCCCCCGGCUCAACUGGGGAGGGUCAUUCGAUACUGUUCGACUCGAAGGCAGGAGAGGGAAGCGGAAUUCCCGGUGUAGUGGUGAAAUGCGUAGAUAUCGGGAGGAACACCAGUGGCGAAGGCGGCUUCCUGGCCUGUUCUUGACGCUGAGGCGCGAAAGCUAAGGGGAGCAAACGGGG